rnacentral:tRNA from 1 species
AAGGAAGUGACAGAGUGGUUAUGUGGUUGGCUUGAAACCAGCUUAUAGGGGUUCAAUUCCCUUCUUUCUUG